rnacentral:rRNA from 1 species
UACGUAGGGGGCGAGCGUUUGUCCGGAAUUAUUGGGCGUAAAGAGCUUGUAGGCGGUUUGUCGCGUCUGCUGUGAAAAUCCGGGGCUCAACCCCGGACUUGCAGUGGGUACGGGCAGACUAGAGUGUGGUAGGGGAGACUGGAAUUCCUGGUGUAGCGGUGAAAUGCGCAGAUAUCAGGAGGAACACCGAUGGCGAAGGCAGGGUCUCUGGGCCGACUACUGACGCUGAGGAGCGAAAGCGUGGGUAGCAAACAGG